rnacentral:rRNA from 1 species
GCGGUUAUACGAGAGGCCCAAGUUGAUGGAUGCCGGCGUAAAAUGUGGUUAAUUUACAGUAUUACACUAAAGCGAAACACCUUCUAAGCUGUUAUAUGCUUUCGAAGGCAGGAGCCCCUCUUACGAAAGUAGCUUUAAACGAUAUGACCCCACGAAAGCUAGGGAACAAACUGGGAUUAGAUACCCCACUAUGCCUAGCCGUAAACAAAAGUGACCAACAUACACCACCUCGCUUGCCAGGGAACUACGAGCCCCAGCUUGAAACCCAAAGGACUUGGCGGUGCUUUAGACCCCCCUAGAGGAGCCUGUUCUAGAACCGAUAACCCCCGUUUAACCUCACCCUCUCUUGUUCCUCCCGCCUAUAUACCGCCGUCGUCAGCUUACCCUGUGAAGGACUAACAGUGAGCAUAAUUGGCACAGCCUAAAACGUCAGGUCGAGGUGUAGCGUAUGAGGGGGGAAGAAAUGGGCUACAUUCACUGAGCCAGUGAAAACGAACGAUGCCUUGAAACACUUAUCUGAAGGAGGAUUUAGCAGUAAGAGGGCAAUAGAGCGCCCCUCUGAAACCGGCCCUGAAGCGCGCACACACCGCCCGUCACUCUCCCCAAGUGCCAAACGACCAGUAAAUAAACAAACAAACAAACAAAGGGGAGGCAAGUCGUAA